ensembl:lncRNA
GGUCUACGAGGUAAUGACAGGUAGGCAGCAGGGACGGUCUACGAGGUAAUGACAGAUACAGAGACGGAGGUAGGCAGCAGGGACGGUCUACGAGGUAAUGACAGGUAGGCAGCAGGGACAGUCUACGAGGUAAUGACAGAUAGGCAGCAGGGACAGUCUACGAGGUAAUGACAGGUAGUCAGCAGGGACAGUCUACGAGGUAAUGACAGGUAGGCAGCAGGGACGGUCUAUGAGGUAAUGACAGGUAGGCAGCAGGGACAGUCUACGAGGUAAUGACAGGUAGUCAGCAGGGACAGUCUACGAGGUAAUGACAGGUAGUCAGCAGGGACGGUCUACGAGGUAAUGACAGGUAGGCAGCAGGGACAGUCUACGAGGUAAUGACAGGUAGGCAGCAGGGACAGUCUACGAGGUAAUGACAGAUAGGCAGCAG